GAAAAGGAGCAAUCCGGUACAGGAUGGACCCGCGUCUGAUUAGCCAGUUGGCAGGGUAUCGGCCUACCAAAGCGACGAUCAGUAGCCGAUCUGAGAGGAUGUACGGCCACAUUGGGACUGAGACACGGCCCAGACUCCUACGGGAGGCAGCAGUGGGGAAUAUUGCACAAUGGAGGAAACUCUGAUGCAGCGACGCCGCGUGAGUGAAGAAGUAUUUCGGUAUGUAAAGCUCUAUCAGCAGGGAAGAAAAUGACGGUACCUGACUAAGAAGCACCGGCUAAAUACGUGCCAGCAGCCGCGGUAAUACGUAUGGUGCAAGCGUUAUCCGGAUUUACUGGGUGUAAAGGGAGCGUAGGUGGCAAGGCAAGCCAGAAGUGAAAACCCGGGGCUCAACCGCGGGAUUGCUUUUGGAACUGUCAUGCUAGAGUGCAGGAGGGGUGAGCGGAAUUCCUAGUGUAGCGGUGAAAUGCGUAGAUAUUAGGAGGAACACCAGAGGCGAAGGCGGCUCACUGGACUGUAACUGACACUGAGGCUCGAAAGCGUGGGGA
rnacentral:rRNA from 1 species